UUCUGGCCUGUGUACGACUUCACACCGUGUAGAACAGGCAUGCGCUGACUAUCUGAGGAGAGGUUUACAGCACUUCACUCAGAUAGCUUAUUGUCUUCUUGUACUGAUGCAUUGGUCUCAGAACAAUAGAACAGUAGUGAAGUGUGUGUGUGUGUG